rnacentral:lncRNA from 1 species
UCUUAAGUCUCAUUCCUAAGAAAUAAAACCACUCUUUACCAUUCUUUAGCAUUCUUUAGGGCCAGCAGUCUUAUGUAUUCUUUUCGUUCUUUGGGGUGUUCUUAUACAUUCUUAGGCCAACUUAUUCAUUCUUUGCCUAAAGCAUACUUAGCUGCUCUUUGGCCGGUUUUAACCGUUCUUACCAUAGGUUCGCUAAGUAUGGCACUCAUUCUUAAGUCAUAUUCUCAGGAAAUUCUUUUUGCUGCUUACAUUCUUAAGCCUUAAAAAAUGUGGGAUUCUUAAGGGUCAUGAUGAAAAUUCAAACACACGUUUCGACCUCUGCAUUCUCACAUGCACCUCUAUUGGUAGGCGCCCUUUAUUAGGGUAUCUUAGGGUUUGGUUUUUAGGGUUUUAGGGUAUCCACAUGGUUAUUCUUACAUUGAAAUCCAUUUCGCGUAUUGUAUUGGAAUCGAACCUAAGACUGCGAUACUAUUAUACUAUAAUGUUUCCCUAAACCUAUGCUGUAAUAAACGACACCUCAACUUAAAUUAUUGUCACAGCAUCCAAAGGUUCUGUAUCUAUUCUAAAACGUGUGCGUAUACUAUGAGCUGCGCCAAGUGCCGUACACGAACAUAUGUGCGUGUACGACAAACAACUCAACACCUGUUCAGCAACUCAGCUAUCA